rnacentral:ribozyme from 2 species
ACCUAAACUAAGCCCAGGUGCCACAGAGGUGAUGGGCCAUGUGCUUACCCAAGAUAGGAUCUUCUUCUCUUGCACACUGUGCUGACAUGAUUCUCAUGACUCUUGCUUGGAGAGAUCUGGAUGAGGUGUCAGGGACCUCUGACUUUGUCAGCCUCUGCUAG